rnacentral:rRNA from 1 species
GACGAACCGUGCGAACGUUGUUCGGAUUCACUGGGCUUAAAGGGCGCGUAGGCGGGCGGUCAAGUCAGGGGUGAAAUCUUUCGGCCUAACCGGAAAAGGGCCUCUGAUACUGGCCGUCUCGAGGGAGGUAGGGGCAUGCGGAACUUCCGGUGGAGCGGUGAAAUGCGUAGAGAUCUGGAGGAAUACCGGUGGCGAAGGCGGCCCCCUGGACAAAGACUGACGCUCAGGUGCGAAAGCGUGGGGAGCAAACAGG